CGGCCUUGAACAAUUUUCCUGCCCCUUCUUUCCAAGGGCUGGGAUCACAGGUGUGUACCACCUUGGCUAACUGACUGGCACUCCUAGACCAUCAAUACCCUCCGUCCAAGAAUGCAGCCAAAAGUAUAGCUUCAGCCGGAUCAUAGAGCUCCACGGCACCAGUGCUACUGGAAAGCAGGCAUUCUGGGUAUAGUUUAUUGGGCGUGUACUGAAGUAUCGUCUCUACAGGUAAAGACUUAGUUCACCAGGAAGUUGAGAAGGCGCUGUUUCAGAUAGAGGAUAAUGGCGCUCAGGGUUUGUCAGACAGUAGGCAUGUAUUGAAUUGAGUUGUGAAUAUCCCUUUUACUUUUGCCUGGAAAGGAGUCACUCAACAAGUUCUCCCGCACCUCCCUACUUCUACCCUGUCCCCUGCCACAUGCCACAUGCUCUGUCUAGAAUUCUUUAGCUACUUUCUUCCUGUCGCAGGAUAAAGUCAAGACUCUAGCCUGGCUUGGUGUACAGAAUGAUGAAUCUCCUUUCUUCUCCCCGGGUCAGAGAAUAAUAACUCCACCAUCAUAGACUGUGUGAAUUGAAGGAAACAUUGUCCCCAGCAGCGCCUCUCAGUGGCGAGUCCUUUGCACAGGGCAGUGUGGCUCCUACUGAUCCCCAGGUUUUUGUGUCAGUGUUUCUUCAGCUAGAGACUUGUUUUACCUGGGACUCUAGCCUUGGGAAUACCUGAUUCUAUCCUGUCAUCUUUAGUCCUUCCUACGUAUUCCUCCUGUUAGGCUGGGGGUGGGGUGGGGUUGUUCUUUCUUCUUAAUUCUAAAGACUUUUGAGUCGUGCUCUACUCAGAGUCCCAGAGUUGGUUAUGAAGUCCAAUCUCCUACCCGGAUGUGGGAAGCCAUCCCCGCGCUGUCUUCCCGGGGGCCAUUAGCUUCUACUUGAGUGCUGUGAAUGCUGAUGAGCCAUACUUAGGAUGCUUGUUCCCAUUUUUCAACAGCUCUAAUUAAAUAAUGAAAACAUGCAAUUAUCUUUUUAGCCAUGAGUGUCUUGCCUUUUUAAUAAAAAUUUCAGUUCUUUCACAAGAACAAAGUAACUGCUCGAAAGGCAUUGAUUAUAUUUAUGCCUUAAAUGAUAAUUUCAUGACAUUAGUAGCUGAACUACUUUUCCCAUUUCCUUCUAACUAUACCAUUUGCUGGAGGAGAUGGCUUGCAUCAGAAGGCUUGCGAUUAUGGGAUGACAUCUAGAGUGGACUUUAGCACAAAGUCAAUAAAGAAAACCGUGACAACUGAGGUUGGUGUCUCUUGGUAUGUCACCCAACUUUGCUCAGGAGAAAUUUGGAGGCAAUACAUGGGGAGAACAUCACAUGACGUGAAGACAGAGCCUAGUGUGAUGCUUGCACAAGCCAAGGAAUGCCAGAGAUUGUGAGCAAGUGGCCCGAAGCAGGCAAGACCAGGGGAAGGAUCUCUCUCAGACCCUUAGAAAGGAGCAAACUUAUUGACAUCUUUACUUUGGACUUGAAAUCUCCAGAAAUUUGAGGCAAUGACUAAAUAUGUGUGCUUAGUAUUUGAGACAGAGAACAUGAGAGCAAUAUUCUGAUUUUGAGGGAUACUAGCCAUUAGCCCACAAUAUCCCAACAAUAUAUUGAAAGAUUCUGACCAUGAUACAGACCGCUGCUUUAAGGAGUGAUUUAGAAUGGUAAAAAAGGGGCUGGAGAGAUGGCUGAGUGGUUAAGAGCACUGACUGCUCUUCCAGAGGUCCUGAGUUCAAUUCCCAGCUAUCACAUGGUGGGUCACAGCUGAAAUGGGAUCUGAUGUCCUCUUCUGAUGGGUUUGAGAAUGCCUAUAGUGUGCUUGUAUACAUAAAAUAAAUAGUUCUUUU
rnacentral:lncRNA from 1 species